UGCAAGAAGAAGAACCUUCAGCUGCUCCAGCACCACGUCUGCCUACACGCUGCCAUGCUCCUUGCCAUGAUGAUAAUGGACUGAACCCCUGAAACUCUCCACAGGGCGGCCAGUGUGGGCGAUGUGGCUUCAGUUGAGAGACUCAUCAACUUCAGUCUAUACAUAUGAACCAAUAUGACAGGAGUGGCAGUAUGGGUUGACACCAUAUAAACUUGCCUUGUAUGAAAACCAACAUGAGAUGGCAGAGUUUUUCAUACAUAAUGGUGCAGAUGAACAUUCAGUGCUUUAACCAAAUAGUGACCGAACAGCUGCAAAAAGUCAGAACAGACAAAGAAAAAGCGUGUCAGCUUCAACAAAGAAGUACAUUACAGUACUGAUCCAAUUCCUUAUUGCAGCUCUCCUAACACCCUGAUGUUCCUGCAUCUAUAACAGAGGACAAGGGCAGUACCUCCGCUAUUAAGGAGGAUAUUGAAAACUCUUUCUCCAGUUACACAAUCUCUGCAGUAAAGAAGAAGGACCAAGCAGUCCUUAGGAAAUCGGAGAUGAUCCUAAGUUCUCUGGGAGAGGCAAAGCCUGAAUACUCUGGAAAAAAUCAUGCUUCACGAGAGGAUGAGGACUCCCAUGGU